rnacentral:snoRNA from 1 species
CUUGCAUGAUGAACGCAAAGAAGAAUUCUGCAAUUCAGACAAUCUCCGUGCAUUUCUCUCGGGUUCUGCAUUGUGAGAUUGCAUGUUGACUCUUCUACACUUGAUCUGAUA